ensembl:misc_RNA 7SK 7SK RNA
GGAUGUGAAGGAGGUGGGCUUUGACUCCCACCAUCCCUUUGACCAGUUAUCUUACUGGCUAGGAAGGUGAUCUUUGUUUCCUCAUCUCUCCAAAUGCAUCUCUCCCAAAGCUGCUUAUGCUCCAGAGAGAAGAGCGGGCUUUGUUCAAGAAUAUAUGAGAAAGUUCAUUUCACCAGCAGAGGGUCCAAAAACAAAACAAAACAAACUUUUUGCAUGUAAUUAAAUCAACAGAGCAGACCAGAAGUUCU